AAAACGAGUGAGACAGGUCUGUAAGCAGCGACGGGAAAGACUGUCGAGACAGGUCAUAGAGCGGAAAACAUAGCUUAUAGCAUGAUACUUACAGUAAGAUGCCUUUUAGUAAAACAAAAACAAAGCCACACACCAGGCUGCUCCAUCCUCGUCCACGGUCGCAUACCUGUAAACGCAAUGUGAGUCUGAAAGGAGAUGUGUGACGACCAUGGCUGCCUCCGGGUAGGGCAAGAGGGACAAGGACUGGGGAUGAUGGUCAAAGGGGACUUUAGUUCUAUUUGUAAUGUUUUAAUUUUUACACGGAGAAGAUACCACGGAUUACUUGUGUCAAUGAAAAGUAAGAAAACCACCGCCGGGCUGGUGGGCUAGAAGAGUGAGCCAGAGGCGAUCACAGAUUCUGUUGCCAGGAACCUUCUGCCGGUGGGAAUGGAGCAAGCCCAGAGUCACUGUUGGGUGCCCUUGUGGCGUCCCUCCCUUACCUGCAGUUUUCACACUCCCAGGGCCGGGGGGCUCACCCACUCACAAAGCAGCUGGCUCCCAGGGCGUUAGCUCUGACCAUUAGAAAGCAUGCUUCCAUCUGUUGAGCAGACCGUGCCUUCCAGAAACGGACUCCCCAGACUGAGCACUGCUCUCUGAGGCCGCAUACGUGGUCUCCGUCAAUGAGAUGGCACCCUGGAGUUUUAAAGCCAGCACAGACCAGCUGGAGGUGCCAUUUACAUACAGUGAAAUGGAUGCGUGUCAAGUGGAAGGUCAAUGCGUGUUCAGGCGCGUGCAUACCCAGGCAGCGCCACGCAGAUUCGGCUCGGGCGUUUGCGGCCCCAGAAGGCUCCCACCUCCCUCUCGCAGGCAGUGCUCCCCACCCCGCCCGGAGAGCCGCCCAUCCCGCUUCUCUCUCCACAGAGUCAUUUUGCCUGUUUCUGAACUUCCUAUAAAUGGGAACACGCGAACGGGGUCAUCCCUUGCUUUGUUCUGGCUUCUUUUACUUGAGAUUAGAUUUCAUUAAACAGACAAGACAAAGCCAUGGGGGCGUGGGGGGAGCUGUUUAAUUUCUGUGAGCCUCACUCUCUCCUGAUCUAUCAAACAGAUGAACACGAAGCUCCAACAGGACAGCACAGAUGAGAGCACAUGCGACCUCUACCCCCAGGGCGCCACCAUCGCGAGGAAGUAUUACUCUUAUUGUCACUGGGCAAACCGGAUUUCAUGACCCGUGAAAAUGGAUUCCCCCUCUGCGCUGGGCUCCCUCAGAACAGGUGGUGGAGGUUUCUGAACCUCAUGCUGAACCUUCCAAACCUCAUUCUGAAACCAGCCCUUUCUGGCUUGUCUCCCUGGGGCACGCAGAAUUCUAAUUUUAAGCUCCACGGUCAGGGUGACAGAAGAGUUUGGAGCCCAGAGUAAAGAUACGUGGU
rnacentral:lncRNA from 1 species